ACGCUGGCGGCAGGCUUAACACAUGCAAGUCGAACGGUAACAGGAGAAAGCUUGCUUUCUUGCUGACGAGUGGCGGACGGGUGAGUAAUGCUUGGGAAUCUGGCUUAUGGAGGGGGAUAACGACGGGAAACUGUCACUAAUACCGCGUAGAGUCGAGAGACGAAAGUGCGGGACCGCAAGGCCGCAUGCCAUAGGAUGAGCCCAAGUGGGAUUAGGUAGUUGGUGGGGUAAUAGCCUACCAAGCCGACGAUCUCUAGCUGGUCUGAGAGGAUGACCAGCCACACCGGGACUGAGACACGGCCCGGACUCCUACGGGAGGCAGCAGUGGGGAAUAUUGCGCAAUGGGGGCAACCCUGACGCAGCCAUGCCGCGUGAAUGAAGAAGGCCUUCGGGUUGUAAAGUUCUUUCGGUAUUGAGGAAGGUUGUUGUGUUAAUAGCACGACAAAUUGACGUUAAAUACAGAAGAAGCACCGGCUAACUCCGUGCCAGCAGCCGCGGUAAUACGGAGGGUGCGAGCGUUAAUCGGAAUAACUGGGCGUAAAGGGCACGCAGGCGGACUUUUAAGUGAGGUGUGAAAUCCCCGGGCUUAACCUGGGAAUUGCAUUUCAGACUGGGAGUCUAGAGUACUUUAGGGAGGGGUAGAAUUCCACGUGUAGCGGUGAAAUGCGUAGAGAUGUGGAGGAAUACCGAAGGCGAAGGCAGCCCCUUGGGAAUGUACUGACGCUCAUGUGCGAAAGCGUGGGGAGCAAACAGGACUAGAUACCCUGGUAGUCCACGCUGUAAACGCUGUCGAUUUGGGGAUUGGGCUUUAAGCUUGGUGCCCGAAGCUAACGUGAUAAAUCGACCGCCUGGGGAGUACGGCCGCAAGGUUAAAACUCAAAUGAAUUGACGGGGGCCCGCACAAGCGGUGGAGCAU
rnacentral:rRNA from 1 species